rnacentral:rRNA from 1 species
CCUACGGGAGGCAGCAGUGGGGAAUAUUGCACAAUGGGGGAAACCCUGAUGCAGCGACGCCGCGUGAGUGAAGAAGUAAUUCGUUACGUCAAGCUCUAUCAGCCGGGAAGAAAAUGCCGGUACCUGAGUAAGACACCCCGGCUAACUACGUGCCAGCAGCCGCGGUACUACGUAGGGGGCACGCGUUAUCCGGAUUUACUGGGGGUAAAGGGAGCGUAGACGGUGCGCCAAGUCUGGAGUGAAAUGCCGCAGCUGAACUGCGGAACUGCUUUGGAAACUGGCGAACUAGAGUGCGGGAGGGGUAAGCGGAAUGCGUAGUGGAGCGGUGAAAUGCGUAGAGAGUAGGCAGAACUCCGGUUGAGAAGGCAGCUUACUGGACCGUAACUGACGUUGAGGCUCGAAAGCGUGGGGAGCGAACAGGAGUAGAUACCCCUGUAGUC